CAGUUAUCUUAAAAAUGCCACUUCAUAUGUCAUCAUCAAGGACUUCAUAUCAAUACAAUUACCUAACAUGUUUAUUGACAAAAAAAAUUCUAACAUAGUGCAUCAACACCUGCAUCCAUAUCCAUCAAUGUAGGAAGUCAAAAAGCGCAAAGGACAACUCAAAACUAAUUUAGGCAUUUUGAGCUGAAUAUGUGCUGGUUCUCUUGUUGUGACCUGCUGCUUUUUAAUCUACACUUGCUUGUAUUACUUGUAUGUGGCUUACCAUGCGAUAUUGCUGGCUUACCAUGCGAUAUUGCUGUUCAACGGUCCCUUUAUACUAGCUCUCUUUGAUCUUCGAGCCUCGGCCUUGGUUUGGAUGGGUAGUGUUAGAGGAACUUGGCCUGGAGUACUGCACAACUCAGGGCUUCUCAUGGGAGAGAUGGUAUAUGAAUAUGUUGUAAUGUCAGCUGCUUUUUGUAUAGUCCAUCAGUUGGGCCUCCAUUUUCCAAGAAAGCAAAACUUUCAAUCACAUGUGAACAUGGUAUGCCACUUAGCUAUCAACUCCUACAUGAACAGUUCUUGCUCUCAAGUCCACUGAAGAUUCUCAUAUGUGCAUUUGUAUAAGCGUAAAGACUAUAAAUAAAAAAAAUGUAUCCAUACAGAUAGUUGUUAAUAAUAGCAUUAUAUAUGCGAUGGUACCUUACUCGAUAAGGAUGGCUUUAUUCAUUUGAAACCAUCUAUUGAAAACCAGGAAUACCAAAUAGAUACAAGGAAAUGUGAAUAGGCAAAGUACCUAUUCAUUUUUAACCAGAUUCCAUAAGACUUCACACCAUCAACCAUCAAAAUAAAUUUGACUCCAUUCCAUUCAAUUAUCGUUUUCCAGAUGCCCCAGAGAAAUUUAUGACAAUUUGGCCGUCAAUGUACACAAGCCUCCUACUUCACCUGUGUUUGAAACAUAGUAUGAUAUAUAUAGGCAUCUACAGUCAUUUUGACUCCGCAAUUUUUUUUCUUUUGAGUGCACUACUCACCAUAUAUAUUUCUCCGACUUCAUUUAAAUAAGGCUGAACAAAUUUCUUCACAAACUUGCUAUCUGGGAUUGUAGCAAUAGUUGAAAGACAAGGCCACUUUCCAAUCAAAUUAUUACUCUCCAAAACUCCUAAAACUUGCAUUCUGGGCUUAAUCUUCUUUUCAACACUGCAAGUCAAUGAUAUUGGACAGUUAACAAUACAUGAAAGAUCAUACUUCCCGGUUGCAAGUAAAAGCUCUACUACCUUACUUAUCUUCCUCUGUGAUACAGAAAAUACCUGAGGAGCCUUUUGAAACAUUUUCAAAAUAUCAUAUUCCGAAAACCCCAAAUUCCUAAAAUGCCUUAACUUGAGUUUCCAAUUCUCGUUGCUCAUUGAACCAACAACCCGAACAGCAUGAAUAAACAAUUUGGAACUUCUACAAGUCCCCAUCUCAUCAACCAUUUUAACAAAAAAUUUCAUAUUUUCUGGACUACACAUGAGAAACCUUGGAAAAUUAUACAUUUUCUUUAUUAUUUGCUCCAUGCCUACACCACAACUCUUUAACAAUUCAAUAUUAGGUACCAUAAUCUUCUCCAAAUCUUUUUUCAAGUACCACCCAGAAAUCUUUAAAACCUUAGUUACCUCUGCACUAGAUCCCAAUAAUCUUUUCAAAACUGAUAAUGACGGUCUUACCCUACUAUCUGCACUUCGAUGCAAAUUUGCUGGAUCGCUUGAGAUAAUCUCAGCAAUGUCUUCAGCAGAAAUGCCCAAAUCUUGGAAAAUCUUGAAUUUGGGCAUGAUGGUAUUCUCAAGACUUGCAGCAAGCAAACCAGGCUUAGUUCUCACGACUUUCUCCAACUGACUCUUUGAAAAACCACUCUCCUUAAGGAAUGAUAAUAUUGAAUCAGAUUUUUCCGGAUUCUUUAUACGGUUUAAAACAGAGGCAACUUGUGAAGCUGUUUCAGGAGAAAAUUGGUGUUUGUGUAGCAGGAAAUCAUACACUGUAAGAUCAGUUUUCACUUUCUUUUCGGUCGAGGAAGAGGAAUAAAGGAGAGAAAGUGAGAAAGAAAAAUGGGAUUUGCAGAGAAAUGACGGGUUACUUUUGCAUAAAUACAUAGCCAUUAUCUUUGAAGUAUUGUGGAUUACCUCUAUGAAUCAUAUAUGUUGAACCUUGGACGAUGAUUCAGUAAAGCUUCUACAAUUGGAUUCUCUGAAGAAAAAAAUUCUAGUGUGUUUAGGAUCUAGGGCUCUUGGGAGUAGGAAGAAAAACACACCACCGCAUACCACUAGUGUGUUAUGGGCUCAGGCUAUCAAUGGAUCAUAUAUGGAUCGAAUUUGAGCUUCGAUCCGUUAAGAAUAAUUAUCCGAUUCGUUUCAAUCCGAUAAUUCGACGGAUGUUCGAAUGUUAAAUUCAAAUUCGAUUAACUAUGUUACCGAAUAUUCGAUUCGAUAAUUCGAUUCAAAAUUGAAAAAAUUUAAAAAAUAAAAAUCUUAUUUUUUUAUUAAAAAUCAUAUCCUCGAUUUUAAUUAAUUAUUUAUUUUAAAAAAUAUUUAAACCAUCUUGAUAGGUUCAUUUAUUAUAUUAGAAGACCCAAAUCAAUUUUUUUAUCCAAGUGAUACUCUUUUUUAAAAGAGAUUCCUCCUGAAAUAUUUUAGGGAUAUUUCAAUGUGGAAUAUUAGUUUUUUUAAAAAUUCACCUCUUCCAGUGAUUUAGUGAUCUUUCAACGUGAGAUACUAAUUAUAAUCAUUUAUCAAUUCUAAGUGUUUACUAUUUUACUUUAUUAUUUUCAUAAAAAAUCACAGUCUUAAUGAGAUUUUAAUUAUAAACAAUAUCAAAUUUAACAAAGUAAAUUAUUUUGGAUAUAUUAAUUGUUAGUUUUUAUGUUAUAAAGGAAAUUACUAUAAUAAGUUUAUUUAAUUAAUAAAUUAAUUAAUAAAAAAAUUAAAUCCCUUCAAAAUUUGCAAUUGAAAAUAUUAUACUAUUAUAUAAUAUUAUUUAUUAUUUAAAAAUUACAUGUAAAGUAUAAUACAAUUUUCAAAAAAAAAAAAAAAACUGUGUUGUAAAUUAUGCGAUAAUAUAUUAUUAUAACAAAUCAGAUUGGGUUGUUAUUGGAUCUGAUUAACCUAUAUCCAUAUUUAAUUCAUUUAGUUAAUAGAUUAUCGGAUUGAGAUCCUAAAUCCAUCUCUCAUUAAUUUCAUCGAAUUCGGAUCAAAAUCCAAUCAAUUGACAGCACUAAGACGAAUUGGGGCCAACGAAGGGCUAGUACUCAGAAUUUAAAUAGAUUUAUGUAUAUUCUAAUGAUUUUUACGGAAUUUAAUAGAAUUUACCAUAUUCCAUAAAAUUUGAAUGAAUUCCGAUUUCGAAAAUUUUUCUGGAUUUUAUACAUUCUCAUAGAUUUGUUAAAUUUUUAUUAAAAUUAUAUUUUUACGUCCUUAAUUGGAGUUAAAUAUCAAACUUUAGAAAGCUUCUCAUUGGCCCUGGACUUAAUUCUGUUACAUUCUAUCAAUCACCGGGUAGAUUCCAUCCAUAAUUCUGUCUAAAUGGAAGCUAUUAAAUCACUCACCAAAUGCACAAGUGGAUUGUCCAGCUCAACCAAACACAACAUACCCAUUAAAUUCAAAAUAGAGUUGCCACUUCAACUUUGGGGCAAAAGGUAAUUAGCACAAAACGUACAUACAUUUCAAUGUUAUUGUGUAAAGUAUCUUUGAUCUUUUAUUUUUUGGUAUUUUCACUUUUCAUUGCGAAAAAUGUCAUUUUCACCAAUAUUUAACGUAAAAUGACCAAUAUACUCACCUAUUUAAAUUAAAAAUAAUAAUAAUAAAUAAAUAACAAAUUACAAUCUCAAUUCUAAAUUUUUCAAAUGCCUUAAUUUGAGUUCCAAUUCUCACUGCUCAUUGAACCAACAGCCCGAACAGCAUGAAUAAACAAUUUGGAACUUCUACAAGUCCCCAUCUCAUCAACCAUUUUAACAAAUUUCAUAUCUUCUGGACCACACAUGAGAAAUCUUGGAAAAUUAUACAUUUUCUUUAUGAUUUGCUCCAUGCCUACACCACAACUCUUUAAAAAUUCAAUAUUAGGUACCCCAGUCUUCUCCAAAUCUUUUUUCAAGUAUCACCCAGAAAUCUUUAAAACCUUAGUUACCUCUGCACUAGAUCCCAAUAAUCUUUUCAAAACCGAUAAUGACGGUCUGACCCUACUAUCUGCACUUUGAUGCAAAUUUGCUGGAUCGCUUGAGAUAAUCUCAGCAAUGCCUUCGGCAGAAAAGCCCAAAUCUUGGAAAAUCUUGAAUUGGGCUUGAUUGUUUUCUCAAGACUUGCAGCAAGCAAAGCAGGCUUAGUUUUCACGACUUUCUCCAACUGACUCUUGAAAAACCACUCUCCUUGAGGAAUGAUAAUAUUGAAUCAGAUUUUUCCGGAUUCUUUAUACGGUUUAAAACAGAGGCAACUUGUGAAGCUGUUUCAGGAGAAAAUUGGUGUUUGCGUAGCAGGAAAUCACACACUGUAAGAUCAUUUUUCACUUUCUUUUAGGUCGAGGAAGAGAAAAUGAGAAAGAAAAAUGGGAUUUGUAAAGAAAUGAAGGGUUACUUUUGCAUAAAUACAUAGCCAUUAUCUUGAAGUAUUGCUGAUUACAUCUAUAAAUCAUAUAUGUUGAACCUUGGACGAAGAUUCAGUAAAACGAUUGGAUUCUCUCAAGAAAAAAGUAC
rnacentral:lncRNA from 1 species